ensembl:lncRNA
CACACACACUCCUGGCGGGUUGUCCGCCUGCCCUGGUGUUACUGCCUGUCGCUGUAAGUAUGAGCUCUUGGGAAAAGAAGCACUUCUUUAGAUGCAUGAUAACAAAGACUGGGAAAGGGAAUAUGUUUCCCUUAUAAAUGAUUUGUGUUACAUACAUACAUUAUCUCCACUGUUUUAGAAUACGACAUACAGCAAAGAGAGUGGCUACAGCAGGCUACAUCUCACACACAGGUGCUGGACCAAAAGUAAGUUCAGACAUACAUACAAUACAUACAUACAAACAUACGUACAUCACAUACAUUAUAAACUAAUAACACACUUUUCUAGAGCACAUUACAGUGUGUGGACCCUCUGUUUUCAGCCGGAACAUGACAUACACCCCGCAGUGAUCAGGGGAUUGAGGGAUUCAUCCUCAGGAAAUCUUCAAAAGAAUGACUCAUGGGUUACAGAGGGCCACAUGCCCGAUGCAGGCUUUCAGUCCGAUCUGACACAACACAAGGCUUCGGGCAGGUUUCCCUGUGCAGGUAAGUGAGUGUUUGACAGUUCAGUGUUCAAUCAAACUGGUUAGGGCAGAAAUGUUGGUGCACACACAGGCUGGAAGCUGACAGGGUGAGUGACAGUACAAACAUAUCCUUUCAAACUGGCUUAAACCUUGGAUAAAUAGCCCAUGGUGUGUUCCAUGCACAUCUUUAUUCUCAGUAUUUUUAGUGAAUGCUAAACAACCUUUUUUCCCCUGAGACUUUGCAAUCAAACACAGAAGGCUGAUUGUUAAAGAACUAAUACUGGAUACAUCUCAUGUGAGCCCACAUGACUGUUGCAGUGUUUUGACAUAGAUUUAUUCCCAUAUCCAUAGGUUUAAGUUUAAUUGUGUCAUCCGCUUGCUACCAUCUUUACAUCAAAAACAGGGAUUUGUUGUGAUUUGAGGAAGAGUUUUUGUUUUUGUGACCAAACUUCAUAUUCACAAUCGCUGUUGAGUUCCAUUACUCCUAAUCUGUCUGAUAAUUCUUUUUUUUUUUGGCUGAAGAAAGUAUCUCCUACAACCUACUGCUAGAGUACCCACUACACCCUCUAACCCCUGUCCAUUUUUAAACACACAGUCAGAAGACUGCUACUGCAGUCUGUUCCUGCUAAUAGUUUUUAAGACCACAAUCUUACACAACUCGUAAAAUAUCAUAAACACAAGGAGGCUGGGUAAAUAAAAUGAGUCAGACAAUACAUCAUUGUAAUUGAAGUCGUUAAAAAAUGCAGUUUUCCUUGUACUCUUAAGUUAAAGAUGGUCGUUACCCGGAGAGAAGAGGUUGUUUAUAAGAUGGCCGACAGUUGACUGAUGUGCCACAAGUGUGGACAGAUGUGAAGAUGUAAGCUUUGUUGGGGGAAGGUUUUGCUUUAAUACGCAUAGAGAUGUCCUAAACCGCUCUCCAACUAAUGGAAGUAUACAGACAACAGUGCUUAACAGCCUAGUAAAAAGCAAGACAGUUGCACUUUUUACCACAGUGGUGACAAACAUAUUAUCUUUACAUAAGACACAGUUGUUGCCAGUAGUUCUCCGGUUUCAAAAUCUCAACCCUCACAAGUUUUGGCCGAAGGUCAGGUUUGAACUUUUGCUCAGAUAACUUUCAUUGCUCACUUAAUUAUCUAGACUAAAUUCUUAACAUUGACAAACAAC